CGUGAGAUGUUGGGUUAAGUCCCGCAACGAGCGCAACCCUUGCCCUUUGUUGCCAGCGGGUAAAGCCGGGAACUCAAAGGAGACUGCCAGUGACAAACUGGAGGAAGGCAGGGAUGACGUCAAGUCAUCAUGGCCCUUACGGUCAGGGCUACACACGUGCUACAAUGGGGCGUACAGAGGGAAACGAUACCGCGAGGUGGAGUGGAACCCAAAAAGCGUCCCUAAGUUCGGAUUGGAGUCUGCAACUCGACUCCA
rnacentral:rRNA from 1 species